UAUCAAUAAGCGGAGGAAAAGAAACCAACAGGGAUUGCCCUAGUAACGGCGAGUGAAGCGGCAACAGCUCAAAUUUGAAAUCUGGCCUUUGGCCCGAAUUGUAAUUUGGAGAAGGUGCUUCGGAAGAGAUGAUGGUCCAAGUCCCUUGGAACAGGGCGUCACAGAGGGUGAGAAUCCCGUACGUGACCAAUUGUCGAUUCCAUGUGAAGCCCUUUCGACGAGUCGAGUUGUUUGGGAAUGCAGCUCUAAAUGGGUGGUAAAUUUCAUCUAAAGCUAAAUACCUGCCAGAGACCGAUAGCGCACAAGUAGAGUGAUCGAAAGAUGAAAAGCACUUUGAAAAGAGAGUCAAACAGUACGUGAAAUUGUUGAAAGGGAAGCGUUCGCAAUCAGACUCGUUUGCAGAAGCUCAGCCUCUCCACGGAGUGGUGUAUUCUUCUGUCAACGGGCCAGCAUCAGUUUCGGCGGUUGGAUAAAGACUUUGGGAACGUAGCUCUCCUCGGAGAGUGUUAUAGCCUGGAGUGCAAUGCAGCCAGCUGAGACUGAGGUCCGCGCUUUUGCUAGGAUGCUGGCGUAAUGGUUGCUAGCGACCCGUCUUGAAACACGGACCAAGGAGUCGACCAAUGACGCGAGUGUUUGGGUGUCAAACUCAUGCGCGUAAUGAAAGUGAACGUAGGUGGGAGCCUUCGGGCGCACCAUCGACCGAUCCUGAUGUCUUCGGAUGGAUUUGAGUAUGAGCAUUGUUGGUCGGACCCGAAAGAUGGUGAACUAUGCGCGGAUAGGGUGAAGCCAGAGGAAACUCUGGUGGAGGCUCGCAGCGGUUCUGACGUGCAAAUCGAUCGUCAAAUCUACGCAUAGGGGCGAAAGACUAAUCGAACCGUCUAGUAGCUGGUUCCUGCCGAAGUUUCCU
rnacentral:rRNA from 1 species